rnacentral:lncRNA from 1 species
GAAACUAAUCCUAUAAUCCUUUUCUUCCUAACAGAAGAGCAGUGGAAUGCUGUGGGCCGGAGAAACUCAGGCAGCUGGCAGUUUGACUCUUAAGCACCAGCAUGGUAGACACCAGCCUCCCCUCUCAGUCCUGCGGGCCGUGAAGUGGUGAUAAUAACACACUCUGAGCAGCUGGAGAUUUCUCUGGAGCCAGACUACAGGGGAGACCAUGAAGAAGAAAAUACAGAUGAAACAGGAAGAGCUGAGAAUGCUCCCCUAUGGAGAUGAGCUAGCCCGUUUCCCCUGUCAGCUGGAAUAAGAGCGUGUUUCCAGGAUGCUGUAUACCGCCAUCAGAGCUUAUGACCCACCUGAUUGCAGUAUGAGUGCCUGCGGCUUCUUCCUUCCCCAUGGCCCCAGACAGUGGCCGGCAGGGAGGCUGUGGGCAAGAGAGAGAACACAUGGCUCAGAGCACAUGGGCAAAUACAGCGCAUAUGGUGGCUGAAUUACAAAGUCAUUGCUGGAGAAGUGGAAACAGUGUGAGGAAUUUGGAAAGGCUGCUGCAAGGUGUUGGCUCUUUUUAUUCCAGCCUCAGUGAUUGACCUGUCACCUGUCACCUGUCACCUGUCACCUGUGGCCUGUCACCUGUCACCUGUCACCUGUCACCUGUGGCCUAUGGCCUUGUGUGAACCAUCUUUCAUCUUAGGAAGAGAAAAAGGAAGAGGAAAACAUAGGAAGCACAGAUGAGGGCAGCCCUCCCUGCUCUCAGUCUUACAUAUUGAAAAAAAAAA